GACAGAGGGUGCAAACGUUGUUCGGAAUUACUGGGCGUAAAGCGCGUGUAGGCGGUCCGAUAAGUCGGGUGUGAAAGCCCUGGGCUCAACCCAGGAAGUGCACUCGAAACUGACGGGCUAGAGUAUCGGAGAGGUUGGUGGAAUUCUCGGUGUAGAGGUGAAAUUCGUAGAUAUCGAGAGGAACACCGGUGGCGAAGGCGGCCAACUGGACGAAUACUGACGCUGAGACUCGAAAGCGUGGGGAGCAAACAGG
rnacentral:rRNA from 1 species